CCUACGGGUGGCUGCAGUGAGGACUAUUGGUCAAUGGGCGCGAGCCUGAACCAGCCAAGUCGCGUGAGGGAAGACGGUCCUAUGGAUUGUAAACCUCUUUUGUCGGGGAGCAAAAGACGCCACGCGUGGCGUUCCGCGAGUACCCGAAGAACAAGCAUCGGCAAACACCGUGCCCGCAGCCGCUGUAAUACGGAGGAUGCGAGCGUUGUCCGGAUUUCAUGGUGUUGAAGGGUGCGCAGGCGGAAGAUCAAGUCAGCGGGAAAAUGGGGUGGCUAAAUCUCUUCGAGACGUUGAAACUGGUUGUCUUGAGUGAGUGAGAAGUAUGCGGAAUGCGUGGUGUAGCGGUGAAAUGCAUAGAUAUCACGCAGAACUCCGAUUGCGAAGGAAGCAUACCGGCGCUCAACUGACGCUCAUGCACGAAAGUGUGGGUAUCGAACAGGAUUAGAUACACCAGUAGUC
rnacentral:rRNA from 1 species